rnacentral:ncRNA from 1 species
AUCCUGCUCAGUAUGAGAGGAACCGCAGGUUCAGACAUUUGUAUGUCCUUGGCUGAGGAGCCAAUGGGGCGAAGCUACCAUCAUCUG